ensembl:lncRNA
UGAGGUUACUUUUUCCAGGCUGCAAGCCUGAGUCAGGUGCUUAAUGGAGGGUAACUAAAUAACAUUUGCCAGCUUAGAGCAUGUGUUUGAAAAACAAAGGUGUUGUUAGAGUAAGCUUGGAGUUAUGUGCGCAACUUGGACUGCAAUUCCUCUCCUUGGCAAUAAGCCUUGGUGCUUUCAAGAGUCUCCACGAGGCCCAAUGAAGAAGCAGGGUUGAAAUCACAGCACUUGAGAGUUUAGUUAUUGCAUUUACCAGAUAGAUGAGGAAAUAACAUUUUUCCAGAAAGAGUCUCAAAUUUGAAGAUGAGACUAUAUUGCAAGAUGGAAUCGUCAUGGUAACUCCUCAAUAGCCACAUGCAGAAGAUCAUCAAGACUUUUAGGAAUGGGCAAACUCUCUGCAGAUGGGGAGAUGGACGUCCCCAACUUUGCAGGUUCAGCUGGGAAGACAGGAUGGGCACCCUGGACAGCAGAAAUUCACAAUCAGCAUGCUGUUCCAUUCAUUGACAUCAAAGGUGAGUUUAGUACUCUUUUUAUAGCAAAGGAAGCAUAAGCAACUCAGAAAUGGCAGUUGGACCAACACUGCUAGGUUGGCAAUAGCAAGUGGGGAAGUUCAGUGUUCAGAGAAAAUAAAUGAUAAUGUGUGUUUCAAGGCACUCAAACAACAGUUUAGACCCUGUAUGUUUUAAAUAAAGGUAUUACUAUUAAAAAUGGAUUUUACACACUUUUUGAAACUCUAGAUUCUGCUAUUAAAACAUUUAGUAAAACUUUACUGAAAGAUAUCAAGCAGAAGAUUUAAAUCUGAAGAGUUAAAAUCUCUCUAAUGAGGAUGUACGUAUAAUCGUUAACCAGAUCUAAAAUGAGCAGCUUCUCUCACCCCGAUACUCUUGGUCACAGCCGUCUUGCCAGUUGGACAGGUUGGCUCUGCCUUGCCUGGAAUUUUCUUGAUCUUCUCUCUUGAGUGGCAGUUGCUGGCACACUGCGACUAUGGGGAAUGUGCUGGCAGAUUGCAGGGCAGGCAUAGCACAUGACUGGACGCAGCAGAAAAACCUACUGAGAUCCUGCUAGCAGAGGGCAAAAAGCACUGAAGGGAGAAAGGAAAGGGAGGAGUUUGUUGCACCAGAUCUGAACCACUAGUGAUGUUCUAUCCAAACAUCUACCAACACCGUGUGCCAUCUUUUGCGUGCAUCAUAUUGCUUGAUUUGACUGCAGUGGCAGAGUGUUAAAACACUCACACGUGCAAAUGUACGCACAUACCCCAUGACUGCUAGGUAGGGCUCAGAAUGUGGUGCUGAAGCAUU